GGUGCAUGUGAUGACACCAUGUAGCGACCAAAGUCUGAUAACAGUGAUUGCUAUCCUAUUGUCUGAUGCACC